rnacentral:rRNA from 1 species
UACGUAGGCAGCGAGCGUUGUUCGGAGUUACUGGGCGUAAAGGGUGUGUAGGCGGUUCUUUAAGUUUGGUGUGAAAUCUCCCGGCUCAACCGGGAGGGUGCGCCGAAUACUGAGGAACUAGAGUACGGGAGAGGAAAGUGGAAUUCCUGGUGUAGCGGUGAAAUGCGUAGAUAUCAGGAGGAACACCGGUGGUGUAGACGGCUUUCUGGACCGUAACUGACGCUGAGACACGAAAGCGUGGGUAGCAAACAGG